UUCUAUGAUUUCCUUUCUUCCCCUCCAUUGACCAUGAUCGCUCUGUCCACUCGAUCCCUGACUCUUUUCUUCUUCCCUCGCCAUCGCCAGCGUGGAUCUACCCUCAGAGCUUCAAGAGUGAGCGAUCCUCCUCUUUUCUGAUUUUCGCGAGCUGCAGCGCCGAGUCUUCCUUCUCCCUUUCCAUCACCGGCGGUGCUCCUUCAUUCCCAGCCUCUCCCUCACUGCAUCAUCUGGUGUGUCGCCGCUAGAUCUCAACAGUGCCUGUGUUGUUCAGCCUAUUGCCUGCUAAGCUGCGACCUCUUUCGGCGAUUUCUUGAGUUCGAUUGUUGGCAGUUCUACACCCUAGGGCACUGUCAUCUUCUCUGCUUAUGCCGUUCCUAGUAGAUCAACCAACGACGAUCAUUCUCGUCAAUUUAUUCUUUGAGUAGUGACCCGCGCCACCACAAGCAAGGUCCAGAUCGAGCUCCACCACCGGGGGGCGACCAACCGAGCGUGUUGACAGAAUCUCGCUGAGCAGAUCACUGAUCUCUUCGGGGCUUACUUCUGUAAGAUAUCCAAGUUGGAUAAGAUGGUUGAUUAGGGUUUGGUAUCUACAGAGCAGUGUUUUAUUGGGGUAUAGGCAUUUGAUUACUAUUUGUACAUCAGGGUGAGUUUUCUUCAGUGAUUUUCCUCUAGAUUUUUCUAUUGCUGAUCCAUUCUAUUAGGAUUGUUGAAAUCAAAUUGAUGUCAGAUUAGGUGUUUAAUUGGAGCUACUAUUUUUGGGUGAAUUGAGGGGGAAUCAUGCUUAAACUUAAUCUAGAUUGAUUUUGGAACAUUUAGGGUUUUCCAUCUUAAGCAAUUGUGGAAGGAUUGAAGGUAAUUAAGGAUUUAAUGUGAACCAAGAAGAUGAAUGGUUUAAGCUAGGGUGGGAAAUAGUUCUGAUUCAAUCAAUAGAAGGGAAAUUAACCAGGGUUAGCUAAUGCGUUAGUGUUAGCUAUUUAUCUUGGUGUGUGAUUCAUAUAUUUGCAGUGUAUAUAAUUAGAUAAAUUAUAUAUGUACACGCAAGACCUUGAUCAGUGACGAGCAGCGUGACAUUGGGGUGGGAGGGGAUUCUUUCAGAGACGUAUUAUAUAAAGGUAGGUAUUUCUUCCUGGACUCUUUAGUUCUUUGAACUUAGUGCAUGGUUAUUUUUGAUUGAUGGAUUAGGUUGUUUUACCUUAAAUAUAUCCGUAUGGUUAUCCUGCUUGAUACUUGUGCUUGACCUUUGAGAUGAUAUAUUUAUUUCAUAUACAGUCUUAGCUUUUGAAUAUCUAUACUUGUUGUGUAUAUACAUGUAGAGUAUGUAUGAUAGGGAAUAUCUUGUUGACUGAGUUAACAUGCUAAUUAUGCAUUUGAUGUUGAGUUACACAUGUUGGGUAUGAAUUAUAGGAGUCACCUUGUUGACUGUCUAGUUGCAUGUUGUGUGUGCACACAUGUCUGGUGUUUACUAUUGGAGGAACUAUAUUGAUUGUAUUUAUGUUGCGUGUACAUGUGUCUGACUAUUAGGAAUAUUAUGUCGAUAAUAACUAUAUUGGUGAUUUUGUGUCUGGUGUGAUAUUAGAGGUAUCAUGUUAAUUAUACCUACAUUAUAUGAUGCAUACGUGUGUGGUGUGUACUUGUCUAGUGUUGUAUUAGAUGAAUCAUUGUACUAGAGGUAUUUAUGGUAGAUUAAGGUGUUAUAUUGAUGAUGAUCGUGGUUGUAUCAUGAUUAUUACAUCAUGCUCAUCAUUUGUAUUGCAUGCUGACAAUCAAAUGUCUCCCUUGUGGUUGAAUGGGUUGUCAGUAUUUGUUAGCACUGCAUACUCGACCACUCAUGGGUAGUGGUAGCUAGAGCAAUUGUCGCUUAUCCUGUCGUGCCAUCCGGUCACUAGGGGUUGUGAUAUCCGGCGUUGUGAGCAGUCAGGGACCCCAUUGAUAUGUAGUUAGAUAACUACUUAGCGCAUUAUCACCUCAGCCACUCGAGAGUAGUGUUUUUUGGAGGAUUGUACAAUUGUCAUUAUCCCGACCCUUCAGCCACAUAGGGGUCGUGACAGGUGGAGGGGCGGGCAGGAGUGACACCAUGUGGCAUGCAUGCGCAUUUGCAUAUGAUACGCGGUGUAUCUUGUGGAGAUAUAUUUGUAUACAUGUCUAGUAGAUACUAGCUACAUAUGAUUGUGAUAUGUUGCAUUUGUAUGAGCAAUGAUUGUUGUAUAUGGUUAUCAUGCUUCAUACAUGUCAUUUAUUAUACAUGUAUAUGCUGUCAGUUAUAUUGUUCAGGUAUUACGAGCAGGUUUGUUGAUGAUCUCUGGUGAGUUUACUUUUUAUUACACCAUGUGUAUUCGACAGAUUCGAGUAUAUGCAUUUAUUAUGUCAUUUACGAUCUUGACCUUAUAUGUUAGUUUCAAAUUGGGUAUGUAUAUUUAUUAUAUCAUUUUCGAUCAUGACUUUAUGUGUUAGAUCCAGAUUGGGAUUUAUGUUUAUUAUGUUGUGGGUGAUCAUGAUCUUAUGCAUUAUAUCCAGAUUGGGUAUGUAUAUUCAUUAUAUCGGUUAUGUUUAGAUGUAUUGAUUAUGUCAGUAUAAUCAUAUUCUUAUUUCUCUACUGAGAUUGUAUGUUUUGAUCUCCAUAUUUUUAUAUAGACCAUGCAUUAUCUUGUCUAUUACCUAUUGAGUGACCUGCACUUACCG